rnacentral:lncRNA from 1 species
AUGUUGGCUGCUAUUGCUAAGCUUAAUGAGCUCAAGAUUUUAUCAUUUGCUUUUAAUGAGUUGAAUGGCGAAACUCUGCUGAAAUUUGGGAUGAAUUGUUUCGUAACCUGAUGCAGUUUGGGUUGUCAAUAAGUCCCUUGAUUCUUUUAUUCUUUUUAUGGUCUGUAACAUUGUUCUUAAUUUAUGUCAGCAGCUGCGCCGCUGCGUCAAUGCAGCGCAGGGAGGGCGAGGGAUAGCUCAUCAGCUGCGUCGAGGCAGCGCAGGGAGGACGAGCAGCUCAUAAGCUGCGCCGCUGCGCUGAUGCAGCACUUCUGCNNN